rnacentral:snRNA from 1 species
AUCGCUUCUCCACCUUUUGGCUAAGAUCAAGUGUAGUAUCUGUUCUUAUCAGUUUAAUAUCUGAUACAUCCUCUAUCAGAGGACAAUAUAUUAAAUGGAUUUUUGAAAAAAAAAAAAACAUUUCCUAUGAAUUUGAAGCAAAACACUUGAUAAGCCUCCUAAGUUCCAGGAGUAUUAACCACUA